rnacentral:rRNA from 1 species
UGGGGAAUCUUGGACAAUGGGGGCAACCCUGAUCCAGCCAUGCCGCGUGAGUGAUGAAGGCCUUAGGGUCGUAAAGCUCUUUCGCCUGUGAAGAUAAUGACGGUAGCAGGUAAAGAAACCCCGGCUAACUCCGUGCCAGCAGCCGCGGUAAUACGGAGGGGGUUAGCGUUGUUCGGAAUUACUGGGCGUAAAGCGCACGUAGGCGGACCAGAAAGUUGGGGGUGAAAUCCCGGGGGCUCAACCCCGGAACUGCCUCCAAAACUAUUGGUCAAGAGUUCGAGAGAGGUGAGUGGAAUUCCAAGUGUAGAGGUGAAAUUCGUAGAUAUUUGGAGGAACACCAGUGGCGAAGGCGGCUCACUGGCUCGAUACUGACGCUGAGGUGCGAAAGUGUGGGGAGCAAACAGGAUUAGAUACCC